rfam:Schistosoma rodhaini strain Burundi genome assembly, scaffold: SROB_scaffold0019118
AUCCAGUUUACGAGUCCCAAAUAGGACGAGACGAGAGUCCUGGAU